GUUCUACCUGUUCCUGCACUCAGAUUCGAUGGUUAAUACACGUACUACAGUCUAAUUAAUUAACUUAGUUUUAAACGAAUCAUGAUUCAUUAAGGCCGAUAUACAUCUUCCUGGUAUUUCAGAAAGAAAUAUCAACAUCAGGUAUUUUUAUUUGAAGAGUAUGAGCGUUUUCAACGUCUGAACUGGGUAAGAUAAGAAACUCUACAUGAUAUCUAUCCAUAAAAUGUAUGGCUUUGGAGCAUUUCAUACAUAUAAAGUAUGCAUCUAGGCACCGAAAAAUGACAGUCUGAACGCCCACCGACUACUAUUAAUAUAUCGCAUAUACUGUUAGACCAACCCCAGGAGCGACGAUAGGAAAGUCACGCUGGUUAACAAAAUAUCCACUCAAACUGACCAUCUGACAGACAUGCCAGCCACAAACUGUUUAUCAAAUACGGACAGAAGCACCUAUAGUGUGGGAUGAUUAAUAAUGCUGUACGACCCGCAGCUAAUACACUCCCUUCCGGAUAUCCUGAAACGAGAUCCUGUUUGUCCCGGACACGGUUGAUUACAAGCGAGUUGAACGAACUUAUUUUUGCACUUAUAAAUCUAGGACGGAGUUAAAGUGUGCAUUUAAGUUAUAAGCAGCAUCCAGAGCGUAUAACUGAAUUUUUGGGGACCACGACACGAAAAGUUGCGAACAUGGUAGCAUAUGUUGGGUUGACCUUGGUUUUAGUGAUAUCACUGCUGAGCGCUGGAGAGGCCCAGCGUGACCGAUGCCGUCAUUGCCGGCCGGGACAAUCCUGCACCAAGCUGUACAGACGUUGUUACGACACG